rnacentral:rRNA from 1 species
CCUACGGGUGACAGCAGUGAGGAAUAUUGAUCAAUGGGCGAGAGCCUGAACCAGCCAAGUCGCGUGCAGGAUGACGGCCCUACGGUUUGUAAACUUCUUUUUUCAGGGAGCACUUGAGUCCACGUGUGGGCUUAGCGAGAGUACCUGAAGAAAAAGCAUCGGCUAACUCCGUGCCAGCAGCCGCGGUAAUACAUAGGAUGCUAGCGUUCUCCGGAUUUAUUUGGUUUAAAGGGUGCGUAGGUGGAAUAUCAAGUCAGUAGUAAAAAUUCGGGGCUCAAUCCCGUCGUGCCGUUGAAACUAAUGUUCUUGAGUGAGCGAGAAGUAUGCGGAAUGCGAGGUGUAGCGGUGAAAUGCAUAGAUAUCACGCAGAACUCCGAUUGCGAAGGCAGCAUACCGGCGCCAAACUGACGCUGAAGCACGAAAGCGUGGGUACCGAACAGGAUUAGAUACCCGAGUAGUC